CGGAAGCAUGUUACUCCCAUGUAUUUGUUUAUUUUCAUUACCAAAAAUAUUCGUACAGCGGCAGAAUUUGAUUUCUAAACUUCUGUGUGUUCCAGCUGUUUGUUCCCAGCUAGAGCUUAAGACAUCCACUCCGCGGGUGGGGAUCAGUGCCUGAGCUCCAGGGAACCAGCUGCAGCAGGGCCCAGAGAACUAACGCCCGUGGCCCGUGGUUACGGCACAAGAAGGUGCAGGAGUUGGCUGGCUGAGAAGAUGCUGACCCUGUUGGACCGCAAGCUUCUACAGCAGCUCAUCCUUCCAGUGCAGGAAUCACAGGCUCUGCUGGAGCCCAUGCAGGGUUUGUCCAGUGCAAGUCAUUAGUCUCAGAAAUAUGGGGUGAAUUCCCACUUUUUCAGGAUGCGAACAACAGAGGCAGGUUUGGAGGAAAUGUCUUCCAUCAGAAGUGUCUGUCCUUUGCUUUCAUCACUUACAGUCAAAGCAUGAAAGCUCAUUAGGCGUGAUUUGGCUAUUUCCUGUUCAGGCUGUCAACUAAAGAGGCAGCAGAGCAGCAUUGCUGGAGCAUGUGGUGGUCUCAUUAUCUCAGUGAGGGAAACACUCUGCAACAGAACCCUCACCCCCUCCUUGCUCAUGGUGUUUAAACUAAAUGGUUUUAAAUGAAAAGAGGGUCAGUUUAGGUUAGAUAUCAGAAAGAAGUUUUCUGCAGUGAGGGUGGCACAAGAUGCCCAGAAGAGCUGUGCUUGCCCUAUUCCUGGAGAUGUUCAAGGUGAGGUUGGAUGGAGCUUUGAGCAACCUGGUCUAGUGAAAGGUGUCCCUGCCCAUGGCAGGGGGCUCGAAGAAGAUGACCUCUAAAGUUUCCUUCUAACCCAAACCAUUCUGUUACAUUGGUAUUGCAUAAGUUACUGACAGCUUCAUCUGCUGGACCACCAUCACUGCACCUCCAGGUUUGGGGUGUCCCUGACACCUGUCUCCACUCACAGUCUUGCCAGACCCCAGGACGCGGCUUUACUCAUGAUUCCCACCCUGGGCCCAAGGUGCUGCAGAGCUCUGCUCUCAGUUUCUCACUUGCAAUACUCUUCGUGCCAAUGUUGAUUGCAGAUUCUUUACCAUGUGUGUGCACAUCCUUCUUUAGACCACAACUGGAAAAACUGUGGGGUGGUUCCUGCUCAGGGUCUCCUUAACUGCAAACCCACAAACUGCUUCCAUUUCUCUUGGUACCUUCUUCAAAAGCACAGCACUUUUGUAAUACCCUGCUAGCGUGAGACCUAGUGAUGGUUCACAAAGUAACAAAUACUACAGUAAUAGUUUAUAGAAAAGAAAACACUUUUACUGCAAAGGCAAUUUUGCAAAUUUUGGUAGCAAUGAAAUCCAACCAUUCCAAUGCAAUGGACUGCCAUGGAAAAUGUCUGCCACUGGCAAAGGCUCUGGAAAAAAAAAGUAAGUCACUUUUUUAUCAAAAAGGUAGUGAGAUAUCUGUUGGUACAACCUAUGGCUUUUAAUGUGCUGGUAUGUCACUGAGAGUGUCCCUGAUGCACACAGGGGAGGUAAGGGCACUUAGAGGGCAGCUCCACUCAGCUUUCUAGAAAAGUCAAAGGUUCCUGGUUCCACUUGUGGAGUCACUUCAUAUGCAGCAAUUGUAUUACCUUGCAAGAUUGUUUUUGGUGUCAGGGUUUUUCUGGAAGUCAGUGUGCUUCCUAUAGGCCAAGCAGGCCACUGCAGGAAUUUCAUUGUGUUUCCCUUUUUAAUGGAAAUUGCAAAUACAUUUCCAGACACAGCUCUGGAAAUACCCCAACAGCAGCCUCUAUCACCUCUUCAGUGUUUAGGAUUGAGCAGUGCCUGUGUCUCAGCUUUCACCUACAUGGAGUGAAAUGCCUAAAAAUGUUAAGAAAUUGCGUCUGCCUUAAUGUCAUCACUGCUAUCCUACCUAAUAAAUAUUUUCCUAAAAAAACCUCAUUCCUCUCUCUCUGAGGAAGACUAUUUCCAUGGAGGUAAGCAGUGAUAGGUAAGUGGUAUUUGUGUACUUGGUGACAUCUGUUUUAUUGGGCGGAGCACUCGAUAACUUGCAUCACCCUCUGAUUCAUACAAUCAUCUGACCUUCAUCUAACUGCUGCUCUGCUUUUAUUUCCUUUUCUCCUUACGAGUUACAGUAAAGGAAAUUCUUCCUGUGCUCCAUACACAAUGCUUCCUUUCAUUCAAGGUUUGGUUGUGCUUUUAGCAUUUAAAAAAACAACCAGUAUAACCAUCUACUGAAAUAGCACAGGAUCAAGUCACACGUUCCUCUCCCUUCACAUUUAGCCUCCCCACAGAUUACACGCACUCCAGGAGUUGCUGUACUUUGGGCACAGCCUUCUCUCCUGGCUGAAAUCCCAGCUGGGAGAUGCUGCAGCCCCUCAGGGUGGGUCUGUGGGGUUUGCUGUGAGGGUUCCUCCCUGUUGGGUGUAUGGACAAGUAAGCAGGUCUUCCAGGAGGAGUCUAAUUCUGCUGGCUCUGUCUGAUGCUGUACCUUCAGCUCCUGCUCUGCCCUGGUGUGGCUGUUCCUCUGGGUACCCACUUGUGUCCCUCCCUUGCAGCUGAGGAAGGACAGCCAUCUCUCUGGAGCAACUUUCUGAAGCAUGAAGGUAAAAGAAAGUCUGAGCAGGAGCAUCUCAGCUAUCUGAUACAGGAGAGCUUCUGGGUGGUUGGAAGGGCCAUCACAGGCUUGGGACACUGUUAGGAAUCAAUAUCCCUUGACACAGAAUUAUUGUAUGUUACCAAGGGCAGGGUCUCUAGAAGGAAGGGAGGAAAACCACAUUGAGUGGAAGAAGAGUCAUCUGCAGAUCUUUCUAAAGUUAAAAAUAGUUAUGAUUUUGUCUGCAGGAGACAGUUUGUCCUGUUAUGCUGCUGUCAUCAUGUGAGCAGGCUGUAUGCUUCUGCAUUUGAAGACUAAAACUGAAUGCUGAAAACAGGAACUUUCUGGAAAUUCCGCAUGCCUGAAAUGUAAUGGUUUCAGUGAGUUUCCUGAUAUCAUCUCAUCCAUGUGGUUGUGCUUGGAUGGGGGAACUAAACAUGUCAUUAGCUCUGUAGGGUCACUAAAAUUUGAAGAAGAGAUCAUAAGGAAUCUUAAGGAUGCGUGACAUCCUGCGAAGACAGAUGAUAAAAGCAACUACACUUGACAGUGAGCCCUUCAAGGCGAGGCAACCCAGUUAAGAGCAUGGAGGAACUGAGCUCUUGCUAACUCAUGUCAGCAGGAGUUGUUUAUCCCCUCUUCAUCAAAAAAAUCAGACUGACAGCAUUGAAAGUGACUAAAACCAGAGGAUGAUACAGGGAAUUUUGGCCUUCAUAACUUUGCAAUGACUUCACUGAUCAUUCCUGGCUCCCAGACCUGGCCUGAUUCUACUAAACUGUGCAACAUUUAUUCGUAAUCAAAUUAUAGUUUAUACACAGGCACAAAAACACAAACACAGAGACAUGUAUCUUCCUACAAACACAUCAAAUGUCUGCAAACAAAGCUGAAAGCUGACCUGAUGCUGGCUGAAUUGUCACUGUAGUCUAAGCUACAAUAGUAAAAUGCGUGGUUGCAAAGAAUCCUAACAUCAGCAGCAGGAGAAUGGUAAGAAAUGCAGGUCUUUCCCAGCCUUGGUCUCGAUUCAAAUGCUGUAAUAUUUCUUGUAGGAUUUCACAAAUAAGUAGAGUGUAUUUGAUUGCAUAAAACAGUGAAAUUGCCUGUCAGGCGUUUAUUCAGAGUUUCUUAAUCUAGAUGAUUUCCAGUUAAGAGAAAGUCUAGACCGUUGGCCUGUUCUUUGGCAGAAGAGAAGUUUUUUAUUAUUUUUUCACAUGCUCGGAGAAUUACUCAAUUUACUAAAAAAGGGGAAGGACUGAGAUCCUAUUUACUCUAAUUUUUAUAAUAUUUAAACUGGCUGCUCUCUCUAGGCAUACCUUGUGCUUUUACCAGCUCAACAUUGUUGAUCAAAGUGUUCUCCAGUAACAAAUGCCACAGAUACACAGAAUGGUCACAUUGAGUUAUGCAAGUGUUUGGCUUUUUGCCUCUGAAAAUAGCUACUCAGUAGAAAAAUACAAAUCCCGUUGCAUGUUCUCUCUGGGUUAUAACAGGUCACAGACAAAAUCCUCACCGUUUGUGAAAUCUUCUUGCAGUUUAUAGUUGUACAACUUUUUACAUCUGUGAAAAAUUAAUGGAAGUAAUAUAACUGAUACCAAAUUACUGUUGGAGAGUUUCCCAUGCCAAGAUUGAUUGCUCUUUUUGUUACUUAAGUCUUCAUCUUAAUCUGUGCCCAGCCCAUUCUUUUACCCACCUUCCACUUUCUAAUGGUUUUUGGCAUGAUGUUUCUGAUGAGAAAUGAAGAAAAUUUUUCAGUUGAAGCUGUAGCCUGAUUUUAGCAACAAAGAACAUGCAAAUGAAGCAGUCACUAGACUCCAGAUUGCCUGCUGUCAGGGCAGGUUUUCCCCCGCCACCCCCAUCUUUAUUUUUUUCAGGCUUGAGUAUGGAUAUCUGUAUACUGUUUCUGGAUACCUCCAAUAUCUAGACAGGUCCAUAUGUUCUUUUGGGUUUUGUCAACAAAGUGCUGGGACUAGAAUCACAUAUGUGUAGGUUGUGUGUAGCAAAAAUAAAG
ensembl:lncRNA